UUGAGCACUCUAAUUUCUUCAAAGCUAACUAGCUAUGCGGAGGUAUCCCUCCGCGGCCAGCUUCUUAGAGGGACUACGGCCAAGCCGCGGAAGUUUGAGGCAAUAACAGGUCUGUGAUGCCCUUAGAUGUUCUGGGCGCACGCGGCGCUACACUGAUGUAUUCAACGAGCAUAUAGCCUUGGCCGACAACUUAAAUAAUCUAUUGGAAAUUGCGGUGCUGGCACCAGAAUUGCAAUGGAUCCUCUUCAAGGGAUUGAUUGUCCUAUUAAUUACCAGACUCGAUCGAGCUCCGGUAUGUUAUUGAUUGUCACACCGCCCGUGUCGGAUUGCGGUAAUUUUGCGGCGUGCUGCCUUCGCGACGUCGCGAGAAGUCCACUGAACCUUAUCAUUUAGAGGAAGGAGAAGUCGUAACAAGGUUUCCGUAGGUGAACCUGCGGAAGGAUCAUUG
rnacentral:ncRNA from 1 species